rnacentral:rRNA from 1 species
UCGAACGAAGCGCUGUAACAGAAUUCUACGGAAGGAAGAUACAGGGACUGAGUGGCGGACGGGUGAGUAACGCGUGGGUAACCUGCCUUACACAGGGGGAUAACAGUUAGAAAUGACUGCUAAUACCGCAUAAGACCACAGCCUCGCAUGGGGCAGGGGAAAAAACGAUAGUGGUGUAAGAUGGGCCCGCGUCUGAUUAGGUAGUUGGAGAGGUAAAGGCUCCCCAAGCCGACGAUCAGUAGCCGACCUGAGAGGGUGACCGGCCACAUUGGGACUGAGACACGGCCCAAACUCCUACGGGAGGCAGCAGUGGGGAAUAUUGCACAAUGGGGGAAACCCUGAUGCAGCGACGCCGCGUGAGUGAAGAAGUAUUUCGGUAUGUAAAGCUCUAUCAGCAGGGAAGAAAAUGACGGUACCUGACUAAGAAGCCCCGGCUAACUACGUGCCAGCAGCCGCGGUAAUACGUAGGGGGCAAGCGUUAUCCGGAUUUACUGGGUGUAAAGGGAGCGUAGACGGCUGUGUAAGUCUGAUGUGAAAGACCGGGGCUCAACCCCGGGCCUGCAUUGGAAACUAUAUAGCUAGAGUGUCGGAGAGGUAAGUGGAAUUCCUAGUGUAGCGGUGAAAUGCGUAGAUAUUAGGAGGAACACCAGUGGCGAAGGCGGCUUACUGGACGAUGACUGACGUUGAGGCUCGAAAGCGUGGGGA